rnacentral:rRNA from 1 species
AUACGUAGGUGACAAGCGUUAUCCGGAUUUACUGGGCGUAAAGGGCGUGUAGGCGGUCUUGCAAGUCAGAAGUGAAAUUCCUGAGCUCAACUCGGGCGCUGCUUCUGAAACUGCAGGACUUGAGUGCUGGAGGGGAUAGCGGAAUUCCUAGUGGAGCGGUAAAAUGCGCAGAUAUUAGGAAGAACACCGGUGGCGAAGGCGGCUAUCUGGACAGUAACUGGCGCUGAGGCGCGAAAGCGUGGGGAGCAAACAGGAUUAGAUACCCUUGUAGUCCACGCCGUAAACGAUGAAUACUAGGUGUAGGGGGUAUCGACUCCCUCUGUGCCGCAGUUAACACAAUAAGUAUUCCGCCUGGGGAGUACGGCCGCAAGGUUGAAACUCAAAUGAAUUGACGGGG